CUUCCGUAGGGUGAACCUGCGGAAGGAUCAUUACCGAGUGUAGGGUUCCUAGCGAGCCCAACCUCCCACCCGUGUUUACUGUACCUUAGUUGCUUCGGCGGGCCCGCCAUUCAUGGCCGCCGGGGGCUCUCAGCCCCGGGCCCGCGCCCGCCGGAGACACCACGAACUCUGUCUGAUCUAGUGAAGUCUGAGUUGAUUGUAUCGCAAUCAGUUAAAACUUUCAACAAUGGAUCUCUUGGUUCCGGCAUCGAUGAAGAACGCAGCGAAAUGCGAUAACUAGUGUGAAUUGCAGAAUUCCGUGAAUCAUCGAGUCUUUGAACGCACAUUGCGCCCCCUGGUAUUCCGGGGGGCAUGCCUGUCCGAGCGUCAUUGCUGCCCAUCAAGCACGGCUUGUGUGUUGGGUCGUCGUCCCCUCUCCGGGGGGGACGGGCCCCAAAGGCAGCGGCGGCACCGCGUCCGAUCCUCGAGCGUAUGGGGCUUUGUCACCCGCUCUGUAGGCCCGGCCGGCGCUUGCCGAACGCAAAUCAAUCUUUUUCCAGGUUGACCUCGGAUCAGGUAGGGAUACCCGCUGAACUUAAGCAUAUCAAUAAGCGGAGAAAACA
rnacentral:rRNA from 1 species